UCGCGUUUGUCCAAUAUGGCGGCGCCCAGUGGCGGUGUGAACUGUGAAGAGUUCGCCGAGUUCCAGUUCUGGAAGCUAGAAGUCCAAGAUCAAAGUCCUGUCAAGAUUGGUUUCUGGAAUUACUCAAGGUGAUGAGGACGAUUGAUGACAGAAUAGUACAUGAAUUAAACACUACGGUUCCAACAGCUUCCUUUGCA